rnacentral:rRNA from 1 species
GACGAACGCUGGCGGCGUGCUUAACACAUGCAAGUCGAACGGAAAGGCCCUGCUUUUGUGGGGUGCUCGAGUGGCGAACGGGUGAGUAACACGUGAGUAACCUGCCCUUGACUUUGGGAUAACUUCAGGAAACUGGGGCUCAUACCGGAUAGGAGCUCCUGCUGCAUGGUGGGGGUUGGAAAGUUUCGGCGGUUGGGGAUGGACUCGCGGCUUAUCAGCUGGUUGGUGGGGUAGUGGCUUACCAAGGCUUUGACGGGUAGCCGGCCUGGGAGGGUUACCGGCCACAUGGGGACUAAGAUACGGCGCAGACGCCUACGGGAGGCAGCAGUGGGGAAUAUGGCACAACGGGCGGAAGCCUGAUGCAGCAACGCCGCGUGCGGGAUGACGGCUUUCGGGGUGUAAACCGCUUUCGCAUGUGACGAAGCGUGAGUGACGGUAAUGGGUAAAGAAGCACCGGCUAACUACGUG